GCCGAGAAGCCGGGCGAAACCCGGGGCGCGGGGAGCGCGCGGGCCACGCACGCAGGCGCGCUCGGCGGGGCGCCCCGGCCGCUCCUGCUCCCGCCGCUGCGGGCUCCCUCGCUCAGGGCCACAUCGCGGGGCACCCGGGCCGGUGACGCCGGCGCCCGAGAAGAGGGCGCGGGGGCUGCGAUCCGGCCCGUGGGCCUCCGCUGCCUCGGCGGGGACGCGGGGGGCGGCGACUCCGGCCGCGCUCCCCUCGGCGAUCCCGGUGCGCGGCACCCGUCCCGGGCAAACAGAUCCAGGCGGGCUGCCUUCCUUCGCUCUUCUCCCGCUCCGCCUCCUCUCCGGGUUUUCCCCGCGGCCACGGCCGCGGGCGAGGCGCAGGUGGCCCGGCGCCCCCGGCUAACCCCACACCCACAAACCUGGCGACGUUCGGGUCACCGGGCGCUCGUGGGCUGCGGGAGGCGGCGAGGCGCACGGCCCGGGCCGCGGCGGGCGGCGGGCGGCGGGCGGCGGAGGGUCCGCGCCUGGCGCCCCGCGGCCUCAGCCCCGGCGGAGGAGCAGGAGCGCGGGAGGACGCCGAGGCGGGGAAAGUGCGGAGGGCGCGCCGGGAGGCGGCUCGGCGCGCCCCGAGCCAGCGGCACUCGGCGGACUCCGCGGUCGCACGAACCCUCCGGGCCCGGCGGGGCUACUCCGCGGCGGGCAGAGCGGCAGCCGCCCGCUGCUCCUCGAGCCCCGGGCGCAUCCGGGCGCCGCGCCCCGCGCGCGCUCGCCCCACCCGGCCGGCCCGGGCGCUCCGGACUCUCGCUCCGAGCCCCGGCCUGGGCCCUCUUUCUUUCCUUCCCUUCGUCCGCCUCUUGGCACAGGGCGCUCCAGCCCGCCGCAAAGUUCUCUCACGACUGGGGGGGCGACAUCCGCGAGGCGGUGGAGAAAAGAGCAGGAGCGCGUUCCGCCGCGCGGCCUCCCUCCCCGGCGGGCAAACUCCGCGGGCGGGUCCGGAGUAGUCGCGGCGGGGGUUUGGUCGCCGCGGGCCGGCCGUGA
rnacentral:lncRNA from 12 species